rnacentral:misc_RNA from 1 species
GUGAAUAAACUCGCGUGGGUUGUUGCUGACCUCCUCGGAGGUAUGUGCACACCCGCCAUUGUUUCAUUCAAUCCAUUCCCACCUGUGCACUGUCUGUAGGCCAAACCAUCAAUCUUUCAGGUCCUUCCCAGGGCCUGGUGUGAGGAACUGCUCCGGCUUUCCUUGGAUGGGUGUGGACUAUGUUUUUAUCAACACUGCAUGUAAUUGAAUGUCUGUUCUGGGCUCUAUAUGACCCAUAAAACCUUAUA